GGGAAUGUGGCUUAGUGGUAGAGUGCUUGUCUUACAUACAUGAAGCCCUGGGUUCCAUGCCUCAGUACCA
rfam:Dipodomys ordii contig_67631, whole genome shotgun sequence.